GGCGAACGGGUGAGUAAAGCAUCGGAACGUGCCCAACAGUGGGGGAUAGCCCGGCGAAAGCCGGAUUAAUACCGCAUACGACCUGAGGGUGAAAGCGGGGGAUCGCAAGACCUCGCGCUGAUGGAGCGGCCGAUGUCAGAUUAGGUAGUUGGUGGGGUAAAGGCCUACCAAGCCGACGAUCUGUAGCUGGUCUGAGAGGACGACCAGCCACACUGGGACUGAGACACGGCCCAGACUCCUACGGGAGGCAGCAGUGGGGAAUUUUGGACAAUGGGGGCAACCCUGAUCCAGCCAUGCCGCGUGC
rnacentral:rRNA from 1 species